UGGGGAAUUUUGCACAAUGGGGGAAACCCUGAUGCAGCGACGCCGCGUGAUUUAGAAGGCCUUCGGGUUGUAAAAAUCUUUUCUAUGGGAAGAAAAUGACAGUACCAUAGGAAUAAGGACCGGCUAAUUACGUGCCAGCAGCCGCGGUAAUACGUAAGGUCCGAGCGUUGUCCGGAAUCAUUGGGCGUAAAGGGUACGUAGGCGGGUAAGCAAGUUAGAAGUGAAAUCCUAUAGCUCAACUAUAGUAAGCUUUUAAAACUUCUCAUCUUGAGGUAUGGAAGGGAAAGUGGAAUUCCUAGUGUAGCGGUGAAAUGCGCAGAUAUUAGGAGGAAUACCGGUGGCGAAGGCGACUUUCUGGCCAUAACCUGACGCUGAGGUACGAAAGCGUGGGUAGCAAACAGG
rnacentral:rRNA from 1 species